UACCGAAGUACCACGAAUGACAUUUGU
rnacentral:piRNA from 1 species